rnacentral:rRNA from 1 species
UACGGAAGGCAGCAGUGGGGAAUAUUGCACAAUGGGCGCAAGCCUGAUGCAGCCAUGCCGCGUGUAUGAAGAAGGCCUUCGGGUUGUAAAGUACUUUCAGUCGUGAGGAAGGUGUUAAGGUUAAUAACCUUAGCAAUUGACGUUAGCGACAGAAGAAGCACCGGCUAACUCCGUGCCAGCAGCCGCGGUAAUACGGAGGGUGCGAGCGUUAAUCGGAAUUACUGGGCGUAAAGGGCACGCAGGCGGUUAAUUAAGUUGGAUGUGAAAUCCCCGGGCUUAACCUGGGAAUGGCAUUCAAGACUGGUUAGCUAGAGUCUUGUAGAGGGGGUAGAAUUCCAUGUGUAGCGGUGAAAUGCGUAGAGAUGUGGAGGAAUACCGGUGGCGAAGGCGGCCCCUGGCAAAGACUGACGCUCAUGUGCGAAAGCGUGGGGAGCGAAACAGGAUUAGAUACC